rnacentral:rRNA from 1 species
UACGUAGGGCGCAAGCGUUGUCCGGAAUUAUUGGGCGUAAAGAGCUCGUAGGCGGUUUGUUGCGUCGGCUGUGAAAUCCCGAGGCUCAACCUCGGGUCUGCAGUCGAUACGAGCAAACUAGAGUGUUGCAGGGGAGACUGGAAUUCCUGGUGUAGCGGUGAAAUGCGCAGAUAUCAGGAGGAACACCGGUGGCGAAGGCGGGUCUCUGGGCAACAACUGACGCUGGAGGAGCGAAAGCGUCGGGGAGCGAACAGGAUUAG